rnacentral:rRNA from 1 species
CCUACGGGAGGCAGCAGUGGGGAAUUUUGGACAAUGGGGGCAACCCUGAUCCAGCAAUGCCGCGUGAGUGAAGAAGGCCUUCGGGUUGUAAAGCUCUUUUGUCAGGGAAGAAACGGUGUUUCCUAAUACGGAAUGCUAAUGACGGUACCUGAAGAAUAAGCACCGGCUAACUACGUGCCAGCAGCCGCGGUAAUACGUAGGGUGCAAGCGUUAAUCGGAAUUACUGGGCGUAAAGCGUGCGCAGGCGGUUUUAUAAGUCUGAUGUGAAAUCCCCGGGCUCAACCUGGGAACUGCAUUGGAGACUGUAAGGCUAGAGUGUGUCAGAGGGGGGUAGAAUUCCACGUGUAGCAGUGAAAUGCGUAGAUAUGUGGAGGAAUACCGAUGGCGAAGGCAGCCCCCUGGGAUAACACUGACGCUCAUGCACGAAAGCGUGGGGAGCAAACAGGAUUAGAUACCCUGGUAGUCCACGCCCUAAACGAUGUCUACUAGUUGUCGGGUCUUAAUUGACUUGGUAACGCNGCUACGCGUGAGUAGACCGCCGUCGGGUAGGUACGGUCGCGAGAGUAAACGUAACGAAGAAGUAGACGGCGUGAGACGUGCCGACGGACGACGACGAGGGAGGAGG